rnacentral:rRNA from 1 species
CAUUGAGGAAGUAAAAGUCGUAACAAGGUUUCCGUAGGUGAACCUGCGGAAGGAUCAUUAACGAGUUGAACGGGGUUGUAGCUGGCCUUCACYGGCAUGUGCACACCUCACUCAUCCACUCUACACCUGUGCACUUACUGUGGGUUUCGAGAGGCCGCGCUUGCGUGGUUGAUCGGGCUCACGUCUAUUACAAACUCUUCAGUAUCAGAAUGUGUAUCGCGAUGUAACGCAUCUAUAUACAACUUUCAGCAACGGAUCUCUUGGCUCUCGCAUCGAUGAAGAACGCAGCGAAAUGCGAUAAGUAAUGUGAAUUGCAGAAUUCAGUGAAUCAUCGAAUCUUUGAACGCACCUUGCGCUCCUUGGUAUUCCGAGGAGCAUGCCUGUUUGAGUGUCGUGUAAUUCUCAACCUAUAAAUCCUUGYGGUUUUUAGGCUUGGACUUGGAGGCUUUUGCUGGCYUUACCGUCAGCUCCUCUUAAAYGCAUUAGCUUGAUUCCUUGCGGAUCGGCUCUCAGUGUGAUAAUUAUCUGCGCUGUGACCGUGAAGCGUUUGGCGAGCUUCUAACCGUCUCCUUGAGACAAACACUUUGACAUCUGACCUCAAAUCAGGUAG